AGGACAAGAAGGCAAAGGACCAACCACCAAACACCACAGUAGUCCUGAACCCUGAGAGCCACGGUGACUUGUACAGCACUGUGAUCCCUAAGCAGCACAGGACAGCAAAAAAGGUUCCAUUACCUGAUGAUGCAGUGACAUACAGCACUGUGGUCACCAAGAGCAAGAUCCAACCAAAUGCAGCAGAACCAGAUGAUGUGGUCUACAGCACAGUCUACAACACCAGAGAUAGG